rnacentral:rRNA from 1 species
GUGCACGCUGGCGGUAGGCCUAACACAUGCAAGUCGAACGGCAGCACAGUAAGAGCUUGCUCUUACGGGUGGCGAGUGGCGGACGGGUGAGGAAUACAUCGGAAUCUACUUUUUCGUGGGGGAUAACGUAGGGAAACUUACGCUAAUACCGCAUACGACCUACGGGUGAAAGCAGGGGAUCUUCGGACCUUGCGCGAUUGAAUGAGCCGAUGUCGGAUUAGCUAGUUGGCGGGGUAAAGGCCCACCAAGGCGACGAUCCGUAGCUGGUCUGAGAGGAUGAUCAGCCACACUGGAACUGAGACACGGUCCAGACUCCUACGGGGGGCAGCAGUGGGGAAUAUUGGACAAUGGGCGCAAGCCUGAUCCAGCCAUACCGCGUGGGUGAAGAAGGCCUUCGGGUUGUAAAGCCCUUUUGUUGGGAAAGAAAAGCAGCAGGUUAAUACCCCGCUGUUCUGACGGUACCCAAAGAAUAAGCACCGGCUAACUUCGUG